GGGCGCAAGCCUGAUGCAGCCAUGCCGCGUGUGUGAAGAAGGCCUUCGGGUUGUAAAGCACUUUCAGUCGUGAGGAAGGUAGUGUAGUUAAUAGCUGCAUUAUUUGACGUUAGCGACAGAAGAAGCACCGGCUAACUCCGUGCCAGCAGCCGCGGUAAUACGGAGGGUGCGAGCGUUAAUCGGAAUUACUGGGCGUAAAGCGCAUGCAGGUGGUUUGUUAAGUCAGAUGUGAAAGCCCGGGGCUCAACCUCGGAAUUGCAUUUGAAACUGGCAGACUAGAGUACUGUAGAGGGGGGUAGAAUUUCAGGUGUAGCGGUGAAAUGCGUAGAGAUCUGAAGGAAUACCGGUGGCGAAGGCGGCCCCCUGGACAGAUACUGACACUCAGAUGCGAAAGCGUGGGGAGCAAACAGGAUUAGAUACCCUGGUAGUCCACGCCGUAAACGAUGUCUACUUGGAGGUUGUGGCCUUGAGCCGUGGCUUUCG
rnacentral:rRNA from 1 species